UUGGAGGGCAAGUCUGGUGCCAGCAGCCGCGGUAACUCCAGCUCCAAUAGCGUGUAUUAAAGUUGUUGCAGUUAAAAAGCUCGUAGUUGAAUUUCGGAAUCCAUCCAUCGGUCGGGCCUCACGGUCCGCACUGGUGUGAUGGAUUUCUACCUUCUGAAUAACCAGCAUGUCAUUAAUUUGGUGCGUUGGGGAAGCAGGACUGUUACCUUGAAAAAAUUAGAGUGCUUAAAGCAGGCUAGUGCCUGAAUACAUUAGCAUGGAAUAAUGAAAUAGGACGGCAUGGUUCUAUUUUGUUGGUUUCUAGGAUCGACGUAAUGAUUAAUAGGGAUAGUUGGGGGCAUUAGUAUUCAAUUGUCAGAGGUGAAAUUCUUGGAUUUAUUGAAGACUAACUACUGCGAAAGCAUUUGCCAAGGAUGUUUUCAUUAAUCAAGAACGAAAGUUAGGGGAUCGAAGACGAUCAGAUACCGUCGUAGUCUUAACCAUAAACUAUGCCGACUAGGGAUCGGAUGAUGUUAAUUUUUUAAUGACUCAUUCGGCGCCUUACGGGAAACCAAAGUGUUUGGGUUC
rnacentral:rRNA from 1 species